rnacentral:rRNA from 1 species
UACGAAGGGGGCUAGCGUUGUUCGGAAUUACUGGGCGUAAAGCGCACGUAGGCGGCUUUGUAAGUUAGAGGUGAAAGCCCAGGGCUUAACCCUGGAAUUGCCUUUAAGACUGCAUCGCUAGAAUCGUGGAGAGGUGAGUGGAAUUCCGAGUGUAGAGGUGAAAUUCGUAGAUAUUCGGAAGAACACCAGUGGCGAAGGCGACUCACUGGACACGUAUUGACGCUGAGGUGCGAAAGCGUGGGGAGCAAACAGG